AUGCCUGGGCAGGACUGUGUGAUGGUGAAUUUGACAUGACAGGAAACCGAAGCUUAUUUGUUUGUAUAUAGUUGAGCAGCUUUAUGUAACGUUGUCAUGGGAUUUAAAGUGCUUUACUAAGGAUUUACCUAAAGGAGAACAUCUUAAGCGAUGUUGCAAAACGGGUCACGGCUUCCAAGCAGAAUUAAUCUGGAAUACCUUUUUAUUGCUGCUGUAUGCAAAUAGCCAGUUGUGCCAAAAGGCAAAUCACCUUCACUGUUUUAGUAGCACUUAAGAGCACCCUGCAGCUCAAUCGCACUUUGGGGUGCAGUGAACUACAUAUUUGCCAAACAUUUCCAGCACGUGUCUUCCAGACUUUGUACAGUCCAACUCACUGCAACAAUUAGUUACAAUUUUACUGCAUUACUCACUAGCAUCCAACCUACUUUUAAGAUUUUUCAUCUCAUGUCUCUCACAUUGCAAUGUUGCAAUAAAGGGUGUGAAUAAUAUGAGGGCUAUAAAAACUGUAGAUUAUAUUGACUCUUAAAACGUGAUCAGACUUUGUUCUAUUGAAACAUUAACAUUGCUGGGAAAAUAAGUCACGUGUUACCCGAGGAUGAGCUUUGAAAUCUCUGAACAGGAUUUAAAGCAUGUCAGUCCCAUCAUUCUGCAGCUUUGUCAUAAUAAACAUGUCAAUAGCAUGUAAAUUACCAUUGUACGUUGUUCAAACUGGUUUCCCUGUCCAGCUGCCUAUACCCAUCACUGGGUAAAACCCUCCCCUUAGCAACAGUUCAGCCGAAGCAGCCAAUCCGGUUGCAAAGGUUUUUUUCCCCCUUCUCUCAAAGGCGCAGCAGUGAUGAAGAGAUUGUAGUGUGAUGAAGGGCAUCCAGGAAGCAAGAGGAGGGCAGGCAUGGUCAAACAAAAUGAUGCUCCUCUGACCUGCAGCUGCGAGCAUGCCAGAGCUGGGAGUUUGCAUAAAAAGUGCUGCGUGAGCCCUGCAGUGAACAGAGCUGCAGCCUUUUUUCACUCACAAUGGCCCAUACAAACGGCUGCAAAACAAAAUGGCUGUGCUGGUCAGUGAGCCUCAGCCCACCCGGGUAAAGUGGGUCAGCUACACUGGAGACAGCUGGCCAGGCAUGCGUGGAUGGAUGAGGGGUCUCUAGUCUUUUCAGUUUUAAAAUGGAUCUGAAGUAAAAUUUUAAGUCACUAAUCAAUUAAACUUAAUGUUUUCAAGAUAUUCCACCUUAAAUAACAGCUAAAAAAAAAUCACCAGUGAACCAGCUCGCUCUUUGUUUUCAGUCUUUUUGUUAACCUGAGCUAACCAACUGAUAUCUGACUGAGUUACUAUCAACUUAUACAGCACAAAGAAGUCUGGAUGUUUGAUACUCGAGAGAAAUUGGAAGUUAUUAAAUUUAAUGUUGUUGUAUUUUCCAUCUUCUAAAAAGGAUAUUCUGGCGUAAAAUUAAUUUAGGGUCAAACACACCAUAACACUAAGUUAGACACCCCAUCAAGAGAUGACUGUUGCCGACUGCUUGCAUCUCUAGUUAUACCAAGACCGCACGAUAGCAAUUUCCUCAUGGAAAUACAAUCAGACCGAGACGCUAAAGCAGAAGAACUACCGUGUCUGCAGUGCAGAAUGAUUAAUAUGGUGAUUAUUACUUCAAGGAAAUGAUAAAGUAAUGAUCAUAAAUGUUCUUCCUUGAGCUGCGCACCCCCGCCGCAUUAGAUGGACUCACCCAGAGGUCUCGCUACAAACAAGCGGCUGCUGGAAGAGAGUGGGUGGGUUAUGUUUAGUCUCUUUGCUAAAGAAAUCAGGGAAAGAUAAAAAGAUGUUUGGUGGCUAGCUCUAUGGCUGGGACCCUAUAUGUACUGUUGAUGAAGUUAGGUGCUGGUCUGAGCAUUAUUUGUGGCUAUAGAGUGGCGUUUUGGUUGAGCACAUGGCUCUCUGUAUUGCUAUCGUGCGGCCGUUACUAAAGUUGGUAUAGAGAAGCAAAUGGUUGGCAACAUUCAUCACUCGACGGGGUGUCUAACUCGGUGCUAGACAGAAUAUCCCUUUAACCUUAGGACACCAGAUAAGUGGGCUAUCAUAGAAGCGCAGACACAGAUAUGCAGUGAUAGUGCUCCAAAUACCAGCUUGCAAAUAGUAGGCCAGACACAUUUAUGAGCUCAGGAACCUGCGACAAAACGGUUUCGCCCACGAAGUACUUUACAGACCUGAAAUGGCAGAAGAGUUUGAGAAUGUGUUGCUUUAAACACAUCAACUGUUUCAAAGUAAAGUCUAUUCUUCCAAACAGCUGUAAAAUUUGAUGUAUGAAAUACACUAAAAGCUUUAUAAAAAUGAGGACAUGUCAAAGUAAAAAGGGAUUUGGUUAUUGCAAGAGUCAUUGGGUUCAGGCUAAUGUGACCGACAGACCUUUGGACGGCGGGGACUUCUGGUGUUGAAAGGCAUCUUGAAACUUUGUCGGGUUUUCUUGGUCUCUGUCCCAACCCGUCUGCCAGCAUGACAAGGCUGCGUGAUCACACUCUUGGCAGACUAUGGCAGUGCCAGCCUUCUCUGACUCCACCUAAGCAGCACUGUCUGUUGGCCAAGAGCUGUAAAAGUCCCCUCUGACAGGUAUAAAGCACCAGAACCUCACUCAGAGCUGAGAUUAUUACUUUAUGAGAAGGUCAACCUGACACAGGAGCAGCCGAGUGACUGAUGAGGUUGAUAACACGGUCACAAAAUUAGUCUUGUAUUUCAUUCCCUUUUGCGUGAAUAAAAUGCUGAGUAUCAGACUGCCCCACCUAUACUCAGUUUGCUGUUAUUACCCAGUCACCUCUCUGCGGUCACAGCACUGCUCCCUGAGUAAACACCAGGGUGUAUUCACAGCUAUAUUUGUUUUAAUAUUAAGGUAUGCGCGGGUUAACCCUUGUGUUACAAGUGAAAUCAAAUAAAAAGGCAUUCAUACGUUAAAGUGUAGGAAAGUGUGCAGAGAGAACUACUGCUCUAGCUGGUUUCGGCUUAUAUGGGGUGGUUGAAUGAGCCGCUUAAAGAAGUCACAGUGACUGCUUUAGUUUGAUCAGCUCAUGCAAAAGAAACUUACAGUUGAGGAAAAAUUAGAUAUUCAAAAAAGACAUGAAAUCAAAAUCUUAAUCCAACAAGAUCCUGAAAUCUUGUUGAAUUAAAGAAACUGAAUUUGAAAUUUUAACUUGGCCAUUACUUUUUUUAAUUUAGUCACUGCACACAAAGUUGAAACUUUAAAUCCCAUGGAUAAAACCAAUAAUCUUGACGAUAUCGAGUUAAUGCCUGUGCAGUCACAGUCUAUUGCUAAAUGAGUAAACACAGCACAGUUUGAGGCUAUGAGGUUUGCUGUACGUGACCAGUCAUCCCUUUGCAGCAUUUUCGAGACCCUGGAUUGCAAGUUAACCCAUUCUUAUAACACCAAACCAACGACCUGGUUUUAUUAUUAGACCCGGGCCUAAGUUACCAUGAGCUCCUUGAAAAGCAGCCCCAUAAACCUAAUCUUUGAUAGGCUAUCUGCUCAGACAGAGGUGGGGCUUUUGUGAUGACUGUUUCUGCUUUUAUGACAUUCAACGAGACAUUAGAGAUUAUUUUUUCUCUUUGAGCCAAAAAAAUUAUCAAAUAUGGACCGCUAACAAUUUGCUUCUCACUGGAGACAGAAAUGGUACUUAAAGGGGAAGUUUAUUUUAUUUUAGUUUUAUUUUAUUUUGAAGUGGGGUAGGUACUUUUGAGGUACUUUAUACUGUAUUUAUUACCAACAGGGGUUCCCAACCAGUUCAUCUCUGUUAUCAGAGUAUUGGUUGGUGAAGCAGCUUGUAUGAAAAGCUAAUAACACCAAUGUUGGCACAAGUUAACCUGAUAAUAAGAAAAAUCGUAAUACUUUCUGCACCCUGGACCGAUCCCAUGCAUGCUCCUCUGUUGCUCUGUUCCUUUCGGCCACCCUUGCAUGAGGCAAGCCUAACCUGGACACACCCCUGCAGAUGUCUAAAAUACUCAACUGCAAUUCCUUUUUAUGGCCACAGGUGCCACCAAAGAGACAGAAGCUGAGACAUUUGAGGAAAAUACUUUAUUGUUGAUGAAAGUUUCCCAAACUUAAGAAAAAGUCACAGGCUAACCAGAAUAGUAAAAGGUAUUAGCAACAGAUUGUAACAAAACUAAAAGAACAAAAGAUCAGGAUCGGAAUAAUAAUUUUUUUUGUCUUGUCAAUAUUUUUAAACCGUCAAGACAUUAGCAGCAUUUUAACUGUCUUAUUUGCAGAUCAAGUGUAAGUUUUGUACAAAACACAUUUCUCUUAAAAGUAGCUUAUAAUGUUUUCUUCUCCACUGUGCAUCUGAGCGCCCCCUAUAUACACAGUCUAUGGUCCUCAAGCCGGUAACUGGGAUUCAAUCGAUCUACUGCCAUUUUUUCAGCUUGUCUCUCCUAACUCUGUUAAUAAUAAUGACAUAAAAAGACAGAAAUGACAACGUUUAAAAACUCUUACUGCUGUAGAAAAAAAUAAAACAAGAAGGACUAGGCCUGUCUAUAACUGCCACAGCACCCUGUUACAUGUGAACUCCUGCUCCUCCAAUUGAGGAAAUGCCCAGUUUGUGUUUGACUUGGUCCCAGGGUAACUGUUGUUUAAGAAUAAGACAAGUUUGUUGCCGUGUAAUCGGGUGAACGUGACCUGCAUGCAGUGGAGUUAGCGUUGCUUAGCAUUUGCACAGUACAAAACUGUCCCGUGUGAGAGACUGUGAAGCCCACAUCAUUGUGUGUGGGUUAGAUACACAAUAUGCUGCCUUGUGCUGCAGCAGUAAUGACAACCAGCACGCUCACUGAUGACAUUAGGACUUCUGCUUACGAGAGCUGCAUCCCUGCAGAAAACUCAGACCUCUUCAGAGAGUCAUUUGUGUGUUAAUCUUAUUUAUAAGACAUAAAGUUCCUCCUCUCACUAUGAAUAAUAUAGUAAAGGGGAAAAACAAAUGAUUUUAUGACUUUAACCAGAUGAACUGAAUAUAAGGAGGAUCAAGUGUGUUGUUUAUUUUUGUGUCAUUUCAUGUGAUCCUUGUUCUGUGGUUAGUUAAGAUGCUAAUGUGUAGCAUCAUGUCUGAGUUGGUUCAGCUGCAACAAACAGCUUAAACUGGUUUGAUUGGCGUCUGAAGUGAAGGUUUAGUAUACAGCCAAGUGCUUACAUGGACCAUGCACAGAAAUGUUACUGGACUAGCAUGAGGAAUUAAAGGGAUAUUCCGACAUAAAAUUAAUUUAGAGUCAAACACAACGUAAUACCGAGUAACACCCCCGUCAGGAGAUGAAUGUUGCCGACUGCUUGCUUCUCUAGUUAUACCAACUUUAGUAACGACCGCAGGAGAGCAAUACACAGCGGUCUGGAGAGCCAUACACAAACCUCAACCAAAACGGCACUCUAUAGCCACAAAUAAUGCUCAGAACAGCACCUAACUUCAUCAACAGGACAUACAGGGUCCCAGCCAUAGUACUAGCCACCAAACAUCUUUUCAGCCUUAACACAACUCACCCACUCUCUUCCAGCAGCCGUUCGUUUGUAGCGAGACCUC
rnacentral:lncRNA from 1 species